AGGUAUAAAGACUAUGUCAUAUAUUGAUUGCAGGUCGAUUGAACAAAUAACACUGAAUUCGAUGAUCGUGUACUUUUCAAUGUGGUCACACUCAUGUGAUCAUGAAAGUUCUCUCUCUCUCUCUUCCUGUGCAGCCGGACAUGCACGAUGAAAGUCUGUAAACCCGAUCACCACCCCAACAUGAUACUCCCCUUGCUAUUCAUUUGAGCUGAUGCUGAUUCAUUUGCCAUUCAUUUGCCAUGAUAAUUAUGUCAGGUUAAGCUGACCCAAUGAAUUAUUAACCAUUAGCAUGUUCGCUGAUGUUUUAUGUUUUCCCCUGCUGCGUACGUGCCAGUCACUGGAAAAGCAAACUUUAGCACACUACUGAGGACUAGUCGGACUCGAGAGAGGGACAAUUGAAACAGGAAACCAGCGACAACAACAAAAUUUGUGACAUCACAGAACAGCGUCCCUUCUCCUACGCCAUCAUCAUCCCUUCCUCUCUUCACUCUUUUCAUCUAGUUUUAUGAUAAACCUCAGGCUCCCAUCAAUAUGUGGAGCCAAAAAAAAUAAAAAAAGAAACAACGGCCAUUGUGUAGACGAGUUUCUCCCUCCCAAACUGAUCAAUGUGUAUUCCGUUCCCAGAAGAGGGAACUUUCACUUUCGCUUUUGCUUUCACCUUCCCAGAACGACCGUUCAGCACACUUGUGAAUCAUUCAUUGUUUCCUCGGGGAGGAUUGACACACUCGGUGUUUGCAGUACAGUCCACGUUUGAGGAUGCUUUGGGCUCUUGCACUUCUCGUCGCUGCUCGUUACGCAGGAUGUCAUGAUGCAAAGUCUACAAUGUGUCCUGAAGCGUUCAACUGUUUAAAGAUACACUCACCAGACGAUUUGUGCCCAUCAGAAGCUACCUUCACCUGUCUGAGUAACCUGCGCAACACCUGCAAGGUGGACGAGAGUAAAGUGACCUUUAUGGACUUGCAGCCUUAUGUACAGAACGUGUGUCAUGAAUUCAAAGAUCAUCUUUCUGAAAUUUCAUCGUGUGCGACCUUUGAUGCCUGCCGUGAGAAUAUCAAAAUAAGUCAGAUCAUGGGAGCAUCUCCAGAGGAACAGGAAAAGAUGUCUGGACUCUUGGUGUCAUCCGACACCUACUGUAGCUUCUUGGAAGACUUGCUCGCUUGUGUCAUAAAGGAGAAGGAGGCUGGACGAUGUUCCUUCUCCGCAGAGUUUUUUAAGUACAUUAUGGACACGAAACAGAGUCUGACUAAGCUGUGUGGAGGGAAUGCAAACGUGUUCGGCCAAGGAUUGCAAGAACUGUAAACAUCCUCAUCUUGGAGCAUGGAUAGCGGCAAAACUUACAGAUAGACACCUACUGGUUGUUUGAUGGAGUGAAGACAGCAGAAAUACGAGCAGUGGGACCGUCAGCUUUAGUUUGGGCAACAUCAUUUAUCUUGAAAAAUCUUUGAUAUGUAGUCGCCGUAAUAUUUGCUUUUCUUAUAAUCUUUGUGUUUGUGUUGUGACACUGCCUCAUGUGAUGUAGUAUUUGAAAAUGUUUUGUGAACGUUGUUAAAUCAGAAGUAAUCUUUAUCAGAAAUUUUAACAUAAAAGAACGCUUUUAUUUUAUUUGCUUGAUGGUUUAUCUUUGCAAAUAACAUUUUGACUGUGUUGAGAUUUCUUAUAUCGCUUGCUUUCCUUGUAUCACACAACAAAUGAGUACAUCUUGAUUUUUAUAUUAUUUUAUGAUUUUAUCAACCUAAAUUUGAAAUUGAAUUGGCUUGAAUUGCUCAGUGGUAUUGAAGUUAACAUUCACAGACGUAGCCUGAGCAAGGGAGGUAACUGAGCUCGCGGAACACAGACAACUUUGCAGCCGAAAUAAAUAUUGACAAAGAAAAAGGUAGUCUCUGUAAACAUGCGAAUAAUAAACAAGACUAAGCGACAGAGUGAAAUAAGAUAACACUUUCUCUGUCCCAGAGGGCAAUUCGAUUAAAAAUCCACACCUGGAUUAAAAAAAACAUUCUACUUUAUCUCGUCAUUGGUUAUCUCUUAAACAAUGAUUGGAAACUUUCUAUAUUCUGAAGAAAAAAUGAAAAAGGAUUGUCAUUGUAAACGGUAAAACAGUAAUGGUGUUAGUCAGACCAUCUUCGGGACAGUAACCGACAUAGGGUCAUUGCUCGCAGCUUCAGGAAUCACCUUCAGCACGUAAUUUCUCUGACAAUAUGGCAUUAGUUUUCAUUUGGUUUAUUUUUAUUUGUUGGUUUUAAAACAGUAUUAAAAUCAUUUACACACAUCAUACAUAUUAAAUAAAUAUAAAAUCAGGAAAUAUGCUUAUUUAGGGCUCAUGGGUAGAUUCGGCAGCUGACAAAAAUGUUCUUUUAAGCACACAUGGAAACUUUGUGUCAAUCUGAACUUUUAUUCUUUAGUCACAGUCUGGUUCUUUCUCGUGAGCCUUAAUAGAAUGUAGAGCAGCGAGUGUCGACUAUGCUGACACGCCUAUUUACGAGUUACACACCUGCAAACUCCUGAACAGAGAGGGCUGACGAGGCAGACACACCUGACUGCUGACGAUACGCUUCAUGUCCCCUAACCGCAGGUGCUGACUGGGUAGGUACACCCGGCUGGCGACGAUACAUUCCAAUAACCAGGAACAGCGGGUACUGACUGACCUAGCUGCUGACGAUACUCGCUUCCAAUCGUCUUUCCUUCUCUCGUUCAUUCAUCCUCCUGGGUAAUUGACUAUACCAGGUAAUUCCUCCUCCGAGGUAAUUCCUGAAAUGCUUACUUUGCUACUGAAUAUUCGUAUGGACCUUUAUCACGGUUACAACAACAGAUAAAAAACACUUUCCAUUUCCACCUAUAAACACAUAUUACAUAAUUUUACACCAUUCUUCCACUGAAAUGUAAAUAUCCAAAGCAAAAAAAAAAAACAAAAACAAUAAAAAAAACAAAAACAAAACCAAAAACAAAAUAAAGCAAAACAAAAACCAAACAACUGGUCUAAUACCUUGACUAGGUAAGAAAUUAUUCCGAUUCCCCGAUCUCUCCCACUCGAAAUUUCUGCUUCAAGGACUUGCGUGGGAAUAACCAAACUCCGUCUUGUCCCCAACUACAGGGGUUCAGAGAACCGCUCGCUCACUCAUGCAGUGCUUUUCUUAGAACGUCCUCACUCCCACGUAUUACAACUAGUACACGGUGAAGGGGAUAAUCUCUGCCUCCCAGCAAACAGAGGCGUCAACCCACCCACACCAACGAUUCUACCAGUAAUAUAUCAUAACACUCCGUGGUUAUACCUACCCUUCUCCGCACCCAUCCCCCAUCACAGGGUCAUGCUAACUACCCUUUCCGUCGAUGAUCCAAUCAGAAAUGAGCACGCUAGUGCACAAAGGUCAUUCCAUGCACUGCAGGUACCCAGCCCGUCUUUACGGUCCAGUACUUUUCAGGUUAGCGGAACCGCGGUUAUUUGGGAAAUCGGUUCUAGUUGAAAUCAGGGUGUAUAUAUACAGUACGAACCCAGUGCACUACUUGCAUUCCCGGUCGAGUACCAUAGGUAGAAACUUUUUUCUCUCAUUCAACAAUCCGUCUACUAGCCAGCCUCUUUACCUUCAAACCAACCAGUUCAAGUGAUCAGUCAACUUGUUCAACCUAUCAACCAAUCAACCCGAUCGGUCUCUGCUGGUGAGGAGAGUCGAUUGUCGAUGUUUGCUGCUGAGUCCCGCAUCACGAUGACAAUGUUGACAGCUAUUGUGGUCUUCACCUGCACCUGGCUGUUUGCAAAUGCAGACCCCAAACCGUGUCCUCAAGCCUUUGACUGUAUAAAGGUACAUGAUGAAUGAGACGAGAGACCAAGUGAACACAAAGAGGACACAACACGCACGCACUGCGAGGUGGCAGGUCUAAUGUCCGGUCAAGGUGCGGCUUGCACUUGUAGCAAGACAGCAUCUCCAACCGAGACUCGAACUCUCAGUGAGUAUAUCGGAAGCUACCUUCACCUGUCUGAGGAACCUGCGUGGAACUUGCGAUGUGGACGAGAGCAAAGUGAGCUUUAGCGAGCUGCUGCCGUAUUUCGAGAAAAUAUGUAAUGAUUCUUUCUCUGACUUUCACACGUGUGACGCCGUCGGGGGCUGCCUUGAGAAUAUCACAAUAUCUCAGAUCAUGGAAGCACCUCCAGACCAACGGAAUGCAACGUCUGGACUGUUGGUGUUAUCCGACACCUACUGUAGCGAUUUGCAAGAUUUUGCCACUUGUGUGAUAAACGAGAAGGAGGCUGGACGAUGUACAAUCUCCACAGAGUUUUUGAACUACAUCAUGGAUAUAAAACAGAAUCUGGCCAAGCUGUGUGGAAGCACUGGGUCUGUAGGUGGUCUCGUGGUUAACACAGUUCUUAUUCUGAUUGUUUCCGCCAUCGCAAGUUUUGCAAAAUAAAGCCCAAAACUCAGAAGUGUUCUGAUUUUCAAUAUAUAUGAACUGAAAA